AGAGUUUGAUCAUGGCUCAGGAUGAACGCUGGCGGCGUGCCUAACACAUGCAAGUCGAACGCGAGAUUUUUUGCUUGCAAGAAAUCGAGAGUGGCGAACGGGUGAGUAACACGUUGGUGACCUGCCCCGAGGAGGGGGACAACUGUGGGAAACCACAGCUAAUACCCCGGAUGUUAAGGAGUUUAGACGCCCUUAACUAAAGUUACGGCGCCUCGGGAGGGGCCUGCGGGCUAUCAGCUAGUUGGUGAGGUAAGAGCUCACCAAGGCAAAGACGGCUAGGGGGCGUGAGAGCGCGACCCCCCACAAUGGAACUGAGACACGGUCCAUACUCCUACGGGAGGCAGCAGUGAGGAAUAUUGCGCAAUGGGCGAAAGCCUGACGCAGCAACGCCGCGUGGAUGAUGAAGGCCUUCGGGUUGUAAAAUCCUUUUCUGGGGGACGAUGAUGACGGUACCUCAGGAAUAAGUCCCGGCUAACUACGUGCCAGCAGCCGCGGUAAAACGUAGGGGGCGAGCGUUAUCCGGAAUUAUUGGGCGUAAAGAGCACGUAGGUGGCGUUAAAAGUUGGGCGUGAAAGCUCUCGGCUUGACUGAGAGAGGUCGUUCAAAACUAUAAUGCUUGAGGUUGAUAGAGGAGAGUAGAAUUCCCGGUGUAGUGGUGGAAUGCGUAGAUAUCGGGAGGAAUACCAGUGGCGAAAGCGGCUCUCUGGAUCACACCUGACACUGAGGUGCGAAAGCGUGGGUAGCAAACAGGAUUAGAUACCCUGGUAGUCCACGCUGUAAACGAUGGGUACUAGGUGUGGGAGGUUAUUUACCCCUUCUGUGCCGGAGCAAACGCGUUAAGUAUCCCGCCUGGGGACUACGGCCGCAAGGCUAAAACUCAAAGGAAUUGACGG
rnacentral:rRNA from 1 species